AGAAUCAACGCUGGCGGCGUGCCUAACACAUGCAAGUCGCACGAGAAAGUGGAGCAAUCCACGAGUAAAGUGGCGCACGGGUGAGUAACACGUGAAUAAUCUACCUCCGAGUGGGGAAUAACUGAGAGAAAUCUUAGCUAAUACCGCAUAAUACCCACGGGUCAAAGCAGCAAUGCGCUUGGAGAGGAGUUCGCGGCCGAUUAGCUAGUUGGCGGGGUAAUGGCCCACAAGGCGAUGAUCGGUA
rnacentral:rRNA from 1 species